rnacentral:rRNA from 1 species
UACGUAGGGGGGCGAGCGUUGUCCGGAUUUAUUGGGCGUAAAGAGCUCGUAGGCGGUUCGGUAAGUCGGAUGUGAAAUCUCCACGCUCAACGUGGAGGGGCCAUUCGAUACUGCCGUGACUCGAGUCCGGUAGGGGAGUGUGGAAUUCCCGGUGUAGCGGUGAAAUGCGCAGAGAUCGGGAGGAACACCCGUAGCGAAGGCGGCACUCUGGGCCGUGACUGACGCUGAGGAGCGAAAGCGUGGGGAGCGAACAGG